GAAAAUGGGUUUAAUUUUCCGGGACGGGUCUUAACUAAGGUCGAUCUUAUGUCGUCCUUCCUUGCCACCUGUCGAGUGGAGAUGAAGCGGAGACGUCGGUUUCGGGGAAACCCGACUUUCGUUUCCCAAAUCGAACUCACCGUCUUCCCAUUCUCUCUCGACGGCGACGCAUGUGGCGAUUUCAUCGCUCAUCUCUCCCGAAUCUCUCCCGAAUAUCU
rnacentral:lncRNA from 1 species